GCGCACCAGGCGAGAAACUUCACACUGUGCGAAAGCACGAUGAGGGAAUCCCAAGUGCUUGCACGUAAGUGUAAGCUGUUUCUCUGUCUAAAACGCAGAGAGAGUAAGGGCUGGGUAAGACGGGUGCCAGCCGCCGCGGUAAUACCUGCAGCUCAAGUGGUGACCGUUAUUAUUGGGCCUAAAACGUCCGUAGCCGGUUUAAUAAAUGCCUGGGGUAAAUUGUGUAGCUUAACUAUACGAAUUCCGGGUAGACUGUUAAACUUGAGACCGGGAGAAGUUAGAGGUACUCCUGGGGUAGAGGUGAAAGUUCUGUAAUCCUAGGGGGACCACCAGUGGCGAAGGCGUCUAACUAGAACGGGUCUGACGGUGAGGGACGAAGCCCUGGGGCGCAAACGGGGA
rnacentral:rRNA from 1 species